rnacentral:rRNA from 1 species
CCUGGUUGAUCCUGCCAGUAGUAUAUGCUUGUCUCAAAGAUUAAGCCAUGCAUGUCUCAGUGCAAGCCACAUUAAGGUGAAACCGCGAAUGGCUCAUUACAUCAGUUAUGGUCCCUUAGAUCGUACCCACAUUACUUGGAUAACUGUGGUAAUUCUAGAGCUAAUACAUGCAAAUAGAGUUCCGACCAGAGAUGGAAGGAAUGCUUUUAUUAGAUCAAAACCAAUCGGUGGUGGGCUUGCCUUGCUCACCGUUUGACUUGGUGACUCUGAAUAACUUCGUGCUGAUCGCACGGUCUAGUUCCGGCGACGCAUCUUUCAAAUGUCUGCCUUAUCAACUGUCGAUGGUAGUUUCUGCGACUACCAUGGUUGUUACGGGUAACGGGGAAUCAGGGUUCGAUUCCGGAGAAGGAGCCUGAGAAACGGCUACCACAUCCAAGGAAGGCAGCAGGCGCGCAAAUUACCAACUCCCGGCACGGGGAGGUAGUGACGAAAAAUAACGAUACGGGACUCAUCCGAGGCCCCGUAAUCGGAAUGAGUACACUUUAAAUCCUUUAACGAAGAUCUAUUAGAGGGCCAGUCUAGUACCAGCAGCCGCGGUAAUUCCAGCUCAAAUAGCGUACAUUAAAGUUGUUGCGGUUAAAAAGCUCGUAGUUGAAUCUGUGUCCCACACUGUCGGUUCACCGCUCGCGGUGUUCAACAGGCAUGUCUGUGGGAUGUCCUACCGGUGAGCUUAGCCCGCAUAAAAGCGGCACAACUCAAAAUCCUACCAAGGUGCUCUUCACCGACUGUCGAGGUGGGCCGGUACGUUUACUUUGAACAAAUUAGAGUGCUUAAUGCAGGCUCAUUCGCCUGAAUAUUGUGUGCAUGGAAUAAUGGAAUAGGACCUCGGUUCUAUUUUGUUGGUUUUUGGAAUUCCGAGGUAAUGAUUAAUAGGGACAACUGGGGGCAUUCGUAUUGCGACGUUAGAGGUGAAAUUUUUGGACCGUCGCAAGACGGACAGAAGCGAAAGCAUUUGCCAAAUGUGUUUUUAUCAAUCAAGAACGUAAGUUAGAGGUUCGAAGGCGAUCUGAUACCGCCCUAGUUCUAACCAUAAACGAUGCUAGCUAGCGAUCCGCCGAAGUUCCUCCGAUGACUCGGCGGGCAGCUUCCGGGAAACGAAAGCUUUUGGGUUCCGGGGGAAGUAUGGAUGCAAAGCUGAAACUUAAAGAAAUUGACGGAAGGGCACUACAAGGAGUGGAGCCUGCGGCUUAAUUUGACUCAACACGGGAAACCUCACAAGGUCCAGACGCCGGAAGGAUUGACAGAUUGAGAGUUCUUUCUUGAUUCGGUGGGUGGUGGUGCAUGGCCGUUCUUAGUUGGUGGAGUGAUUUGUGUGGUUAAUUCUGAUAACGAACGAGACUCUAGCCUGCUAAAUAGACGUACUUUCUUGUAUCGCAAAGACCCUCCGCUUCGGCUUCGGUCGUUGUUGGUUGUGGUUGUCACUACUGGCGUACAAAUAUAUCUUCAUAGAGAGACAGGCAGCAUUUAGUCGCACGAAAUUGAGCAAUAACAGGUCUGUGAUGCACUUAGAUGUUCUGGGCAUCGCACCGCACGCGCGCUACACUGAAAAGAUCAGCAGGUUUUUCUUGGCCAAAAGGUCCGGGUAAUCCGUUGAAGCCUCUUUGUGCUAGGGAUUGGGGCUUGCAAUUCUUCCCCAUGAACGAGGAAUUCCUAGUAAGCGCGAGUCAUAAGCUUGCGUUGAUUACGUCCCUGCCCUUUGUACACACCGCCCGUCGCUACUACCGAUUGAAUUAUUUAGUGAGGUCUUCGGACCGGUGCGCGGCAGCGUUUCGACAUUGCCGAUGGUGCUGGGAAGAUAGCCAAACUUGAUUAUUUAGAGGAAGUAAAAGUCAUAACAAGGUUUUCGUAGGUGAACCUGCGGAAG